GUCUGAUAUUGCUCCUUAUUUUGUGCAGUUUCUGCUGUUUGGUGAGUUUUUAUUGUAAGAUAUAUUUUAAUUUGCAGAUAAUUCCGGGGAAGUUGCAUUAUAAUUAGUAUUACGUCUGAGAAUUUCUGUGCAUGCUCUUUUAUUAUUGUGAAUGUCCCUGUAUUUGCUACAUUGUAAUUAUGGGCCCGUUUAUUGUUUUAUAAAGUUCCAUUGUAAGCAGUGGUGGUCUGUAGGAUGGAUUACAAACAGCCCAUAGAGAUCCUCUCGUUGAUCUUGGGUUCCAGCAAUUCUGGUAAAACGUAACCCUUCCGCUAAUUAAUUAUUUUUGUUAUAUAGUAAAUAGCGUAACCUGGGAAGCAAGGAAAAUUCAGCAAUUUUACAUAUAUUGCAGUUCAGUGAUUCCUAAUAUUUCAAAGCCUUCUUUCACUUGGGUGAAAACCUCACAUUUUUGAUGCUUCCAAUAUAAUUAUGAAAGCCUCAAACCGUAAUAUACAACUAAUGUUCCUUCUCUUUUCAAUAAUCUAAUAGUCCAUAUUUAUUACUAUAUUCAAAUUGCCAUAUUUUAGAUUUCUCUCCCCCUGUCCAAUUUAAAUUGUCCCCAAGUCUCCAAUGCAUUUCCACAAUAUGCUAUAGGUCCAGUAAUUAAACAAACCCACAAUAUAUAGUAACAUAUUCUGUCUUUUUACUUUGGUUCUCCGUGGAUGUUGUGUCUUUUGCCCUUGUGGCUAGCACCCAGCAUUUUAAAUGUGGCUGGUCUGUGGGCUGGGGAGGUGCUAUUUAUAAUUUGGAGGUAUGAAUGCUCCCUUGUUUUUCUUGUAGCCCUUGCGCUCUACAAUAUAGUUCAAUCUGACUUCAUUACACCCAUUUCUUCAUGGCAGUGCAUGCUUUUGGUCAAAAUGUAAUAAUUUUGAAUACAUUUGUCAAUUGAUUUAAUAUUUUUGGAUACACUUUUAAAAUGUUUACUAUGUUAAAACAUUUGAAUUAUUUUUAUGUUUUUUAAGAUGUUAAUAUAAUUUUGAUAUUUUACUGUUUUGAAAAACAUAUUUUUAAAAAUCUAACCAAAAAUAUGAAAUCUGUGAAUAAAAAAAAUAUUAAAUACUGGUCUUAAUAAACAUUCCAAAUGACUUAUCUAAAUAAUUCACCAUUAAAGUCUAUAGGAAUUUCUAUAGAUAAAUUAUUUGAAAAGUUAUUCAAUUAAGUGAGAAUUCCAAGUCAAUUCAAAACUGUUGGAUAAACAUUCCAAAUUAUUUCAUAUUUUUCGAUGAACUUGAAAUUAUUUCUUUAACAUAUUAAAAUAUCAAAAAAUAUAUUGUACAUAAAAACAUAUAUAAAACAUUAGGAAAAUAUUACAGAAUUAAUUUUUUUUAUAUCAUUUUAAAAUAUUAUCCAAAAAUAUUAAAUAGUUUAAAAUUCUUAUCCAAUUAUAUCAAUUUGAGGCUGUAAUGCCAAAGAAGGCAAUCUGGGAGCAUUCAUGGCUUAGACAAUGCUUCCAGUUUGGCUAGUUUGAACUUGAAUGUAAAAUUCACUUUGAAUUCUCAGUUUAGUGAGUUACCCUGUGAAUAUUUUAUGUUCUGUUGGUUACCGUGUCAUUCUUUUUUUCCAGCCAUUUAUUUGUAAGAAGAGCUCAGAUUCCUGCCAAAGUGGCUUCUCCUUUGGGAAGUAAUGUCAAGGAGUCCGUAAUCCUGUUUACUGGAAUUCAGUGAAUUUAACUCCUGGUGCUGCUCUGUGUUACAACUCAUCGAUACACUCUGAUUCCCAAUGUUCG
rnacentral:lncRNA from 1 species